AACAGACUCAGCAGGGUUUGUUCAGACCUGGCAGCUGCAGCCUUCUGUGAGAGGUCUCUCCUGAAAGCCACAUGCACAAAGGGAAGCAUGGCGAUAAUGCAUCUGGAUGAUCUUCGAGGGUAGACCCGAGUAAGAACACAUUUCAUCAAUCCAACCUGGAGGUGCUACAGACCUGGUUAACUGUGGCAAUGUCUGCAACAGAGAAGACCCUUAAAGCACAGAUUGGAGAGGUGGUCAUCCUACGCAGAGACUACUUUUAAAGAACCCAGUACCAGCUCAAGAAGCAUUCCUGCCUGACCCGAACUGGUUCCAUAACAUUGCCUCGAAAAUGCACUUACCCCUAUGAUCAAGGUGGCUCACAGCCAAAGAAGUUAAACCAACCAUCUGUCUAGGAAAAUUCAGACAUGCAGUAGCUGGCUGAACACACACACAGAGCAGGCUGGCUGGCGCAUGACACGCUGAACAGAUCAAAUAAUGCAGCCUUGAAGCCAAGAGAAAUCUCCAGUACCUGCUAUCAUGUUGUGACCCCUUCUGGGUCUCCCCUCGCUUCUUCCUUUUAUGGCCAGAACAGACUAAUUUCCUAUUAUGUUUCUACAGUGACAUUCACCUAGAUCCCGAGACAUGAAUCUCACAAGUUUACUGUCAUUUACAGUCAGGCAAUACUCUGAGCUGCUCAUGCCAGUAAAGUGUUUUUUUUUUUAAAUGGACCAGAUCCUCAGCUGGGGUAAAUCAGUGCUGUAUCUUCAGAGGCCACCUUGUGAUGAGGUGCUUUACCUGACACAGGACAGACUUGAAGUGGAGUAAAGGCAAGGGAGCCAGAUUCUCCUCUUAUUUACACUGGUGAAAAUCAGGACUGACUCUACUGAAGCACUGGAGUUACACCCAGGUAAAGCUAGCCUGACAGAAUAAGGAUGAAUAAAUGAUCUCUUCUGAA